GACGAACGCUGGCGGCGUGCUUAACACAUGCAAGUCGAACGGAAAGGCCCUGCUUUUGUGGGGUGCUCGAGUGGCGAACGGGUGAGUAACACGUGAGUAACCUGCCCUUGACUUUGGGAUAACUUCAGGAAACUGGGGCUAAUACCGGAUAGGAGCUCCUGCUGCAUGGUGGGGGUGGGAAAGUUUCGGCGGUUGGGGAUGGACUCGCGGCUUAUCAGCUUGUUGGUGGGGUAGUGGCUUACCAAGGCUUUGACGGGUAGCCGGCCUGGGAGGGUGACCGGCCACAUUGGGACUGCGGUACGGCCCAGACUCCUACGGGAGGCAGCAGUGGGGAAUAUUGCACAACGGGCGGAAGCCUGAUGCAGAAACGCCGCGUGCGGGAUGACGGCCUGCGGGUUGAAAAACGCUUUCGCCUGUGACGAAGCGUGAGUGACGGUAAUGGGUAAAGAAGCACCGGCUAACUACGUG
rnacentral:rRNA from 1 species